GACGAACGCUGGCGGCGUGCUUAACACAUGCAAGUCGAACGGAAAGGCCCUGCUUUUGCGGGGUGCUCGAGUGGCGAACGGGUGAGUAACACGUGAGUAACCUGCCCUUGACUGUGGGAUAACUUCAGGAAACUGGGGCUAAUACCGGAUAGGAGCUCCUGCUGCAUGGCGGGGGUUGGAAAGUUUCGGCGGUUGGGGAUGGACUCGCGGCUUAUCAGCUUGUCUGUGGGGUAGUGGCUUACCAAGGCUUUGGCGGGUAGCCGGCCUGAGAGGGUGACCGGCCACAUUGGGACUGAGGUACGGCCCAGACUCGUACGGGGGGCAGCAGUGGGGAACAUUGCACAGUGGGCGGAAGCCUGAUGCGGCAACGCCGCGUGCGGGAUGACGGCCUUCGGGUUGUAAACCGCUUUCGCCUGUGACGAAGCGUGAGUGACGGUAAUGGGUAAAGAAGCACCGGCUAACUACGUG
rnacentral:rRNA from 1 species